CGAGGUGGAGGCGGGUGAGUGGAGGAGCCAGGAGGCGCUGGUGAUGACAGUGGUGGCGGAGGUGGGUGGGCAGCAGGACAGCCCUGGCCCUGAGGAAGGCGGCUUGACCGCAUUUUUAAAGUGAGCUGAGCUCACACACCACACCUGCCUGGCAUGGUCACUGCCACUCAGCCUGGCCUGGAAGCUCCAAGCAGAAGACUCAUGCCUUCCUGGGAGGCCUCACGGUCACUUCUCUGCUCCACUCUGCUUGGGGCCUGCCUGCCUGCUUUCAGCUCAGUCAUUCUAGGCUCAGGCUGUUGCUAAGGACGCCUGAUGCCAAGGCCAUCAUGUGACCAACAGGAAGCAAGCAAACACAAAUAAGAAGGGACGUGACUGCAUGCCACUAUAGUUAUAAGCCACGCUGGGAUGAGCCUGUCUUGGGGAAAGCAGCUCGCUCACCCAGGUCGGUCCCACUGCCACGCCGCAAGAGAUCAUGUAGGCUGGGAUUUCGCUGCAUGUGCCCUGAACAGCUGCAAUCAACAGUGGUGCGGGCCUGGACAUUAGGAUAACAUGAUCUGGAGGCCCCAGGGGCUGACUUCUGAACCAGACUUCUGCCCAGAAGUCUGGGGGAAAUGGUGCCUCUGAAGAUAACUGAAUAAGGCUUCACAGUAGUCCUCCCUAGAGCUUGCCAAAGGCUCUGGAGAGCCACAACAGACUCACCCCCCACCUUGGGAAAACCACAAGUCACAGAAAACAUGCCCCUGGCUAUAACAAGCAAUUAGUGGUCCCUUAUGUAGUGCUAGAGCAACCUGUCUCAGCUUCAGGAAAGGCAGCAUAUAAUCUCCUAGAGGGUCUCAUCAUUUGUCAACAAACCACAGUUCCCCAAGUUCAUAUGUAAAUAUAGAACUAGUGUUUUUUCUUAAAUGAAAGCAGAAGCCACUCUUGUUUAUUUUGUACAGUUUUUGCUCUUUGGAUCUAUGUCCCCAAAUUAAAAAGAGAUGCUACUCUUCUUGUUUCUACCAACACGGUAAUAGUGUUUCUACUAAGGACAGAGAAAAGAAACCCCUAAUUGCUUUUACUGCUUCUUAUCAGCUACGGCUCCCAGAGGAGAAAAAGAUUCUAUAAUCUUAAAUUAUGUUCCAGGUGAAUGACAAUGUGAUACUCGCUUGUUGAAAUCCCCUUUGCAUAGUUCAUUAUUUCAAAAGGCCCAUGUUUCAACAUGAGAAAUAAAGAUUUGUUCAACACUUUCUUA